CUUGUAAGAGGUCCCGUCUGCCCCCUGACGUUCAACGGCCGCGGUAUCUUAACCGUGCGAAGGUAGCGUAAUCAUUUGUCUUUUAAUUGAGGACCCGUAUGAAUGACAUAACGAGGGCUCAACUGUCUCCUUCUUUCAGUCAAUGAAAUUGAUCUCCCCGUGCAGAAGCGGGGAUUUAUACAUAAGACGAGAAGACCCUAUGAAGCUUUUAGGUUGGGGCGACCCCGGGGCCCCAACCAAGAGCUCUAAAAACCAGACUCUGACCUGACCCGGGAUCAACGAACCAAGUUACUCUAGGGAUAACAGCGCAAUCCCCUUUUUAGAGACCGCAUCAACAAGGGGGUUUACGACCUCGAUGUUGGAUCAGGACAUCCUAAUGGUGCAGCCGCUAUUAAGGGUUCGUUUGUUCAACGAUUAAAGUCGCUUAGCCGUAAACAUUGAUAGAUCUAUCCGCCCGACUACUACGAGCACGAAGCUUAAAAACCAAAGGACUUGGCGGUUCAUCAGAUCCCUCUAGAGGAGCCUGUUCUAUAACCGAUACUCCCCGUUUAACCUCACCUCUCCUAAGUAGCCCAUAUACCACCGUCUUCAGUUUACCCCGUGAUGGACCAACAGUGAUCACAAUCGG
rnacentral:rRNA from 1 species